GAUGGCGACCGGCGCACGGGUGAGUAACGCGUAUCCAACCUACCCAAUACUCAGGCAUAACCCGUUGAAAGACGGACUAAUUCCUGAUGGUAUGUAUUUUUCUCAUGAGUUAUACAUUAAAGAAUUUCGGUAUUGGAUGGGGAUGCGUCUGAUUAGUUUGUUGGUGAGGUAACGGCUCACCAAGACUUCGAUCAGUAGGGGUUCUGAGAGGAAGGUCCCCCACAUUGGAACUGAGACACGGUCCAAACUCC
rnacentral:rRNA from 1 species